rnacentral:rRNA from 1 species
UACGUAGGGACCAAGCGUUGUUCGGAUUUACUGGGCGUAAAGGGCGCGUAGGCGGCAAUUCAAGUCAGCCGUGAAAUCUCCGGGCUUAACUCGGAACGGUCAGCUGAUACUGCUUUGCUAGAGUGCAGAAGGGGCAAUCGGAAUUCUUGGUGUAGCGGUGAAAUGCGUAGAUAUCAAGAGGAACACCUGAGGUGAAGACGGGUUGCUGGGCUGACACUGACGCUGAGGCGCGAAAGCUAGGGUAGCAAACGGG